ACGGCCGCCAGGCUCGCCACAUAAACCCCUGCUUCUCCCCUGUCUCUCUCCGACAAUCUUCUAGCGCUCUCCUCUUCGUCUUGCCCCCUUCCCCCUCCUCCGCCGGAACUAGGGUUUUGGCGGUCCUCGCCCGUUCCCCUCGGGAUCCAUCACCAUCAGCCAUGGACGACACGGCCGAGCUGCAGCGGUUCAUCGAGCAAGAGAAGGAGAAGAUGAUGGUGAGCGAGAUGAUCGGCAAGGUGACGAGCGAGUGCUGGGACAAGUGCAUCACAGGCGCCCCCGGGAGCAAGCUGAGCUCUGGCGAGACCAGCUGCCUGAGCAACUGCGCGCAGAGGUUCGUCGACAUGAGCGAGAUGAUCGCGAAGCGUUUCGGCGCGCACUAGAACAGGACCACCACACAUGCACGCGUGCAGUUGCUUCCUGGCCUUCUGAGCUACGUGUCUUUCGGUGCGAGCGGAUUUUGGUGUGGCGUUGAAAGAUGCAUAGGUAAGGUAGGUUCGGUGGGGGUUUAACUGAACGCCGAAGACCGAAGUAUGCCUGUCGUUGUCGUCGUGCUUGGUAGUAAUUCUCGCACUCUGGGUUGAACUUUUGACCCUGCUUCCAGGAGCAAGCAAGAAGUUUGGCCUGUUUUAACACGCCAAGAUUUUGUUCCUUUUCGUUUGGUCCUCCUGGCUAGUUCGGUCCGUCUGCCCAACCUAUUUAUUUAUUUAUUCAGAAGAUUUGCUGGAGACCUGUUCAUGUGAUUUCUGGGCCAACAUUUGUCGUUGGUCCGCAGCAACCGCGCAAUCAUUCAUCGCGAGUUCUGCG
rnacentral:rRNA from 1 species